rnacentral:rRNA from 1 species
GACGAACGCUGGCGGCGUGCCUAAUACAUGCAAGUGGAGCGGAUGAUGGAGGAGCUUGCUCCUCCUGAUUCAGCGGCGGACGGGUGAGUAACACGUGGGCAACCUGCCCUGUAGAUUGGGAUAACUCCGGGAAACCGGGGCUAAUACCGAAUAGCCCACCGGACCUCAUGGUCUGGUGUUGAAAGACGGCAUCUCGCUGUCACUACAGGAUGGGCCCGCGGCGCAUUAGCUAGUUGGUGAGGUAUCGGCUCACCAAGGCCACGAUGCGUAGCCGACCUGAGAGGGUGAUCGGCCACACUGGGACUGAGACACGGCCCAGACUCCUACGGGAGGCAGCAGUAGGGAAUCUUCCACAAUGGACGAAAGUCUGAUGGAGCAACGCCGCGUGAGUGAAGAAGGUUCUCGGAUCGUAAAACUCUGUUGUGAGGGAAGAACAAGUACCGGAGUAACUGCCGGUACCUUGACGGUACCUCAUUAGAAAGCCACGGCUAACUACGUGCCAGCCGCCGCGGUAACAC